rnacentral:rRNA from 1 species
GAUGAACGCUGGCGGCGUGCCUAAUACAUGCAAGUCGAGCGAACGGGCGAGAAGCUUGCUUCUCUGAUGUUAGCGGCGGACGGGUGAGUAACACGUGGAUAACCUACCUAUAAGACUGGGAUAACUUCGGGAAACCGGAGCUAAUACCGGAUGAUAUUUUGAACCGCAUGGUUCAAAAGUGAAAGACGGUCUUGCUGUCACUUAUAGAUGGAUCCGCGUUGCAUUAGCUAGUUGGUAAGGUAACGGCUUACCAAGGCAACGAUGCAUAGCCGACCUGAGAGGGUGAUCGGCCACACUGGAACUGAGACACGGUCCAGACUCCUACGGGAGGCAGCAGUAGGGAAUCUUCCGCAAUGGGCGAAAGCCUGACGGAGCAACGCCGCGUGAGUGAUGAAGGUCUUCGGAUCGUAAAACUCUGUUAUUAGGGAAGAACAUAUGUGUAAGUAACUGUGCACAUCUUGACGGUACCUAAUCAGAAAGCCACGGCUAACUACGUG